UACGUAGGGUGCGAGCGUUGUCCGGAAUUAUUGGGCGUAAAGAGCUUGUAGGCGGUUUGUCGCGUCUGCUGUGAAAAUCCGGGGCUCAACCCCGGACUUGCAGUGGGUACGGGCAGACUGGAGUGUGGUAGGGGAGACUGGAAUUCCUGGUGUAGCGGUGGAAUGCGCAGAUAUCAGGAGGAACACCGAUGGCGAAGGCAGUUCUCUGGGCCGUAACUGACGCUGAGGAGCGAAAGCGUGGGGAGCGAACAGG
rnacentral:rRNA from 1 species